AGAGGUAUAGCUCAAUGGUAAGAGCACAUGUUUAGCAUGUAAGUCCCUGGGUUUGAUCCCCAGUACCACCA
rnacentral:tRNA from 1 species